rnacentral:rRNA from 1 species
AUGGUUAAGUUAGAAAGGGCGCACGGUGAAUGCCUUGGCACUAGGAGCCGAUGAAGGACGGGACUAACACCGAUAUGCUUCGGGGAGCUGUAAGUGAGCUUUGAUCCGGAGAUUUCCGAAUGGGGAAACCCACUGUUCGUAAUGGAACAGUAUCUUUAUCUGAAUACAUAGGAUAUUGAAGGCAGACCCGGGGAACUGAAACAUCUAAGUACCCGGAGGAAGAGAAAGCAAAUGCGAUUUCCUGAGUAGCGGCGAGCGAAACGGAAUUAGCCCAAACCAAGAGGCUUGCCUCUUGGGGUUGUAGGACACUCUAUACGGAGUUACAAAGGAACGAAGUAAAUGAAGCGACCUGGAAAGGUCCGUCGAAGAAGGUAACAACCCUGUAGUUGAAACUUCGUUCCCUCUUGAGUGGAUCCUGAGUACGGCGGAACACGUGAAAUUCCGUCGGAAGCUGGGAGGACCAUCUCCCAAGGCUAAAUACUACCUAGUGACCGAUAGUGAACCAGUACCGUGAGGGAAAGGUGAAAAGCACCCCGGAAGGGGAGUGAAAGAGAUCCUGAAACCGUGUGCCUACAAGUAGUCAGAGCCCGUUAACGGGUGAUGGCGUGCCUUUUGUAGAAUGAACCGGCGAGUUACGAUCCCAUGCAAGGUUAAGCUGAUAAGGCGGAGCCGUAGCGAAAGCGAGUCUGAAUAGGGCGUUUAGUAUGUGGUUGUAGACCCGAAACCAGGUGAUCUACCCAUGUCCAGGGUGAAGUUCAGGUAACACUGAAUGGAGGCCCGAACCCACGCACGUUGAAAAGUGCGGGGAUGAGGUGUGGGUAGCGGAGAAAUUCCAAUCGAACCUGGAGAUAGCUGGUUCUCUCCGAAAUAGCUUUAGGGCUAGCCUCAUGUUGUGAGAGUCUUGGAGGUAGAGCACUGAUUGGACUAGGGGCCCCCAACGGGUUACCGAAUUCAGUCAAACUCCGAAUGCCAAAGACUUAUCCAUGGGAGUCAGACUGCGAGUGAUAAGAUCCGUAGUCAAAAGGGAAACAGCCCAGACCACCAGCUAAGGUCCCCAAGUAUACGUUAAGUGGAAAAGGAUGUGGAGUUGCUUAGACAACCAGGAUGUUGGCUUAGAAGCAGCCACCAUUUAAAGAGUGCGUAAUAGCUCACUGGUCGAGUGACUCUGCGCCGAAAAUGUACCGGGGCUAAACGUAUCACCGAAGCUGUGGAUUGACAUCUUUGAUGUCAGUGGUAGGAGAGCGUUCUAAGUGCUGUGAAGUCAGACCGUAAGGACUGGUGGAGCGCUUAGAAGUGAGAAUGCCGGUAUGAGUAGCGAAAGACAAGUGAGAAUCUUGUCCACCGAAUGCCUAAGGUUUCCUGAGGAAGGCUCGUCCGCUCAGGGUUAGUCGGGACCUAAGCCGAGGCUGAAAAGCGUAGGCGAUGGCCAACAGGUUGAUAUUCCUGUACCACCUCCCCGCCGUUUGAGUAAUGGGGGGACGCAGUAGGAUAGGGUAAGCGCGCUGCUGGAUAUGCGCGUUCAAGCAGUUAGGCUGAUGAGUAGGCAAAUCCGCUCAUCAUAAAGGCUGAGCUGUGAUGACGAGGGAAUUAUAGUACCGAAGUUCCUGAUUCCACACUGCCAAGAAAAGCCUCUAGCGAGGCGGGAGGUGCCCGUACCGCAAACCGACACAGGUAGGCGAGGAGAGAAUCCUAAGGUGAUCGAGAGAACUCUCGUUAAGGAACUCGGCAAAAUGACCCCGUAACUUCGGGAGAAGGGGUGCUCUGGUAGGGUGUAUAGCCCGAGAGAGCCGCAGUGAAUAGGCCCAGGCGACUGUUUAGCAAAAACACAGGUCUCUGCGAAGCCGCAAGGCGAAGUAUAGGGGCUGACGCCUGCCCGGUGCUGGAAGGUUAAGAGGAGGGGUUAUCCUUUGGGAGAAGCUCUGAAUCGAAGCCCCAGUAAACGGCGGCCGUAACUAUAACGGUCCUAAGGUAGCGAAAUUCCUUGUCGGGUAAGUUCCGACCCGCACGAAAGGCGUAACGAUCUGGGCACUGUCUCAACGAGAGACUCGGUGAAAUUAUAGUACCUGUGAAGAUGCAGGUUACCCGCGACAGGACGGAAAGACCCCGUGGAGCUUUACUGUAGCCUGAUAUUGAAUUUUGGUACAGCUUGUACAGGAUAGGUAGGAGCCUGAGAAGCCGGAGCGCUAGCUUCGGUGGAGGCGUCGGUGGGAUACUACCCUGGCUGUAUUGAAAUUCUAACCCGCGGCCCUGAUCGGGCCGGGAGACAGUGUCAGGUGGGCAGUUUGACUGGGGCGGUCGCCUCCUAAAAUGUAACGGAGGCGCCCAAAGGUUCCCUCAGAAUGGUUGGAAAUCAUUCGUAGAGUGUAAAGGCACAAGGGAGCUUGACUGCGAGACCUACAAGUCGAGCAGGGACGAAAGUCGGGCUUAGUGAUCCGGUGGUUCCGCAUGGAAGGGCCAUCGCUCAACGGAUAAAAGCUACCCCGGGGAUAACAGGCUUAUCUCCCCCAAGAGUCCACAUCGACGGGGAGGUUUGGCACCUCGAUGUCGGCUCAUCGCAUCCUGGGGCUGUAGUCGGUCCCAAGGGUUGGGCUGUUCGCCCAUUAAAGCGGUACGCGAGCUGGGUUCAGAACGUCGUGAGACAGUUCGGUCCCUAUCCGUCGUGGGCGUAGGAAAUUUGAGAGGAGCUGUCCUUAGUACGAGAGGACCGGGAUGGACACACCGCUGGUGUACCAGUUGUCUUGCCAAAGGCAUCGCUGGGUAGCUAUGUGUGGACGGGAUAAGUGCUGAAAGCAUCUAAGCAUGAAGCCCCCUCAAGAUGAGAUUUCCCAUAGCGCAAGCUAGUAAGAUCCCUGAAAGAUGAUCAGGUUGAUAGGUCAGAGGUGGAAGCGUGGCGACAUGUGUAGCUGACUGAUACUAAUCGAUCGAGGACUUAACCAAA